rnacentral:pre_miRNA from 1 species
UUUCAGCUCAGCUGUGGGUUUAUAUGUCUAACAUUUAACCUAUUAUUUUUUAUGAUUAAUACUUUUAUAGUUAUUAGAUGAUAAAACAUUAAUGGUAAUAAUAUUUUAUGUGUGAUUUAUAUUUUAAAUUUUUAUAAACUUUUUAAAUAUGACGGAUGAUUAAAUGUUGAACACGGAAACUGACAGAUACACAUAAA